rnacentral:rRNA from 1 species
UUAGAUACCCUUCUAUACUUUAACAAGCUAGGUAGUACUAAGCUGUAGGAAACCUUUGCAGUUUGGCGGCAUUAACUCAAUUUAGAGGAACCUGCCUUUUAAUCGAUACCCCACGAUAGUCUUUACUUUCAUUAACAUCUUAUAUACCGCCAUCUUAAGGGUAAUUACUUAUACCCCCCCUUAAAAGAAAUCUAAUAAGAUAGGUAAAGGUGUAGACCAUAUGUUAGUUAAGGUGGGUUACUAUAAAUCUUAUUUAAGGAAUUCAGAUCAAAUUCUAAAUAGAAAAAGGAUUUAACUAGUAAUUAGGGAAUAUUAUUCCUCUAUGAAAUUGAUAAACAAUGUGUACACAU